CCUAUCACGCGCUCGCUUUCAGCGAGGCCGGGCUCACAAAAGCAGUCGGAUUCACCGAACGCAGCUACGGUAGAGCUCUUAAUUCGUUUAGCAUCUCCAGAGGCAAGCCAAGAUGACAGAGUAAGAGUUUUCAUCUGCUUCUGCAUGGCCGACCCUCCCUUGUGGGUAUUAGCUAUGAUUUGAGACCCCAACCGCGACGACAUGUGUUAUGUGCUAAGGAAUCAACAUUGACCAUCUUGUAAGUGCAUCCGCCAUGCUGGAGGCGUGAGUGAAAGCCAGGAACCAGCUGCUCCGGAAGGUGAAUAUUUGUUUUAGCGUGACCUAAAUUUGAAGAUAUGAAGCAGAGGUCUCGCUGAGGUCAGCGCUAUUUUGGUCUUCGAAACUCUAUGUAAAUAUGCGGCGCUAAAGGCAACGA